UGUACUGAGGGAGAACAUCAGUGGCACAAGCCCAGAACUUUGGGUAUAAAACCAGGACCCGUGGAUAAGAUGGCUGUUUUAUCUGCGAAACCAAAGUGUGGAGGAACAAGAGAGGGUGUAAGGAGCACACUCUACAAAGGCCUCAGUGGGGAUUUACCUGAUCUCUCUGUCCUUCAGGUAGGGCUAACAGGAUCAAACUUCAAGGGACGGUGACAGAAGUCUAUAAGAACUUCUCUGCAGCUGAGGCACCGAUGAUC